UUUUAAUUAAAAUUACGAAAUUAUUUAAGUAUUGUAAGACAUGCAAAUGUAAAAAAGUAUUUAACAACCGUAAUCCUGAAUUUUCAAUAAAUGACAUUGGAGUGACUUGUGUAAAUCCGAAGUAAGAAUUCUUCGAGUGUUUUAACACUUCCUAAUGAAAAUAUGUAUUUAGACCACUCUGAUUGUGAUUUUUCAUGGCAUAUAUGGAGCAACACUUGGUUUAUUUGGUAAAUUCCAAUAUGUGUUAAUUCACCAAAAUAUAUGGAUUAAUAACACAAAAAAACAAUAGUUAAAGAUACUCUACAGACUGCUCAAGAAACCGAAUUUCCAACUUCAAAUGCUUAUAAAGCACCUAAUGAAUAAUUAACGAAUGACAUUGGAUUGAGUUGGGAAUUGCAACUAGUUCCACAACUCCCUUUAGGGCCCAUCUAUGCGAAGAUCACACGUAAUGUAACAAAUACAGAAGCGGAACUCGGUUAAUUUCGGAAUUGGUUUCCACCAUCGUUAUCCAGGUAAAGGAAUGUGAGGUUACAUAAUAUGGCCGAGUAAACAUUUCCGCGAUUCCUAUAUAGCGGUUUCUCAGUAUAAAUUGCCCAAGUUUACUCGUUAAUUUAUACUCGAGUUGAUUUUAUAUGGACCGUAUAGGGAAAACUGACCGCGAGGAAAUUGUUUUUUUCCGGUUCACUUCGUGGCCCUUUUUUCAAAUUAACCGGUCGGAUGUGCUUUUAAUUUUUGGCCCUUAUUUUAUCGCUACACCGGUUACAUGCUGCUACUAUAGGCUCAGGUUAAUGAAUAAAUUAACUCCCUUGAAAUUUAAAUAGUUCCUUAGGUGCGUUUACAUCACAAGAUUAAAACUAAUUAUUGUUUUCUAAUGUAAUUCUCUCUCCGUUUAAAUUAAACUGCGAUUGAGUAAGUUGCACUUAAAAAGGGGCAGCGCAAUUUAUUUACAAUUUCGCGCAAGGCUAAAGUUUAUUCCGAGGUUUCGUGAUUAAAUGUGCAUUUUAAAGUGGGGCUUGAAGGGCCUCAUCAGCCCCCGGCAAAUCCGUUAUUUAAAUAUUUAAAGUGAGCGGCGGAUAUGAGUGAGACGCGAAGGUUUACUGUUGAAAAAUCAAAUUUAUUUAAUGGAAAGUCUAAGUUUUAACUGAGGCAAUAUAAAUUUAUCAUAAAAUAUUCUUUCUGUUAGCUAAGAAAAAAAGGAACAAUACAAGCAUUAAGCGUCACGAUUAUUUAUUAUAUAGAGGCAUUUGACAUAAAAAAGGUAACAAGGGUGACAAAGAUAACAAUAAAUAUGUAGGAAGUAGUAUGGCCGAUUGUUGUAGCCAAUGAGAGCCGGCGUUUUUGACCACACCCUCAAUCGUUUGUCAUCAGUAUGACAGUUGACAGGUCUCUAGACAAUCCAACGAUCCGUUUUAUUACUGAAAAGAAUAAAUGUCAAAUUAUUUAGUUGUAAACCGUCGAUUAGUUAUUUGACAGAUGGUUAACCACUCUUAUUAAUAUCUGUCAAGAAACACCAGAUUUUCAUGGCAAGGUAUGAUCACGCCCCAAUUGCCUUGGCAUUUUCGAUCUGUCAAUUUGUUGGAAGUAGGGCAUUAAUGAUCUGAGGUUAGAAACAUACAGACAUGGGUAAUGGGACCUUUACUGCAAAGAUUUUGCUUUUAAAUAGAUUUCAGCUGUCGAGAUAUCAACUUCUUCUUUCUUUCGUGUCCCCUGAUUUCCCCUGAUUUUCGAUCACUCGACGUAAAAAAGAAAACAAAAGUGACAAAGACAACGAUAAAAAUGUACGGCGUAGCCAAUGAGAGUUGGCGUCAUUUGCUUGAGUUAUGUUUGAGACAAGUCUCUAGACGGUCCAACGAUCUGUCCAACUCUUGGAAAAGAAAAAGAGGUUAUAUUGAAAUCUAUGUCAAGGCAUAGUCAUGACAACAAAACUUAUAGACCUGGGGCUAUAGUAAAACUGAGGUUAUAGUUAAAGUAGGACAACACCUCAAAUGUCUUAAUAUUCUGAUGACAGCUGACAAGUUUGUAAACAGUUUAAGGAUCUGUUAAUUUGUUGUAAGUAGGGCACCAAUGGCUUGAGGUUAGAAACAUACAGACAGGGGUAAUGUGAUCUUUACUGCUAAAUUUUUGCUUCUAGAACUAGAUCUCAGCUGUCGAGAACUCAACUUCUUUUAUUCGUUAUAUUGGGGUUUAAAGUGAGUGAGUCACCUUGAAAAUCAAACUGAAUGUUUUGACAUCACUGCAUAAAAAUCAAAUAUUUUUAAAAUUAUAAUUUAAACCGGUGAGGACCUUUAACAAAAAAUAUUAAGAACACUUUUCUAAAUCAAAUGUUUUUUAUUUCACGUGAAUUAUUCCAUUGGUUUUUAAGAUAUUGAAGUUUAAAGUGAGUGACCACCUUGAAAAUCACACUGAACUUUUUGACAUGACUAUUUGAUAGCUGGUUAAUCACUUGAUUGACAACUGUCAAAUAACCAGGUAGUUUUCAUCGCCCAGUGUUAUAGUUACCAAAUGCCUUGACAUUUUGAUGACAGUUCGCAAGUUUGUAAACACUCCAACGAUCUGUCAAUUUGUUGAAAGUACGGUUAUUAAGGCUAAAUAGAUAUUAAACUAUCAGAUAGGGGAAAUAUAUAUUUGAGUGGAUUUCAGUUUUCGAGAAAUCAACUCGUUUGCCCUUUAAAUGCUGUCAAAAAAUAAGCUGACAUUCCAUUGAUAGUUGAUAAUGUUAUAGACAGUCCAAGCAACUGUCAAGUUGAAGGAAGUCGGGCACCAGUAAUUUAAGGUUAUAUAACAUAAACCAAUAAGAAAUAGACAGACUUGGAUAAUAUGAUCUUUGCUGAUCAUCAUUGGCGCUUUUAAGUAGAUCUCAGCUGUCAGGAAAUCAGCUUAUUGGCUGUUUGAAUGACUGCUGUAAAAAAAAAAGAGCUGACAUCGCAAUGACAGUUAAUAAGGUUAUAGACAGUCUAGGCAACCGUCAAGUUUAUGGAAGUGGGGCACAAACAAACAAGGUUUCAACUGCCUGGACGAAUUAAAUCAUUCUUCCUCUUCUUCUUUUCAUAUUUUUUUUAGAUUACAAGUCCCUGGGCUUAGAACAUAAUUUAUUUCUCCCAGGCAGUUGAGAAAGGAAACUCUUUAGGCAAUUCGGGAUUGAGGAACUACAUGGGCUUCAAAAAACACAGUUUCAACUGCCUGGACGAAUUAAAUCAUUCUUUUUCUUUCCAUAUUGUCUUUAAGGUUUUAAGUCCUUGGGCUUAGAUCAUAAUUUAUUUCUCCCAGGCAGUUUAGAAAAGAAACAUUUUAAGCAAUUUGGGAUUGUGGAACUACAUGGGGUUCAAAAAACACAGUUUCAACUGCCUGGACGAAUUACAUUAUUCUUCCUCAUCUUCUUUCCAUAUUUUCUUCUAGGUUGCAAGUCCCUGGACUUAGAUCAUAACUUAUUUCUUCCAGGCAGUUGAGAAAAAAAAUAUUUCAGGCAAUUCGGAUUGUGGAAUUCUGUGGGAUUGAAGAAACAUAGUUUCAACUGCCUGAACGAAUUAAAUCAUUCUUCAUCUUCUUCUUCCCAUAUUAUCUUUAAGGUUAUAAGUCCUUUGGGUCCUUUCUAUCUUGGGCUUAGAUCAUAAUUUAUUUCUCACAGGCAGUUGAGAAAGAAAAUGUUUCAAGCAAUUUGGGAUUAUGGAACUACAUGGGCUUCAAAAAACAUAGUUUCAACUGCCUGGACGAAUUAAAUUAUUCUUCCUCUUCUUCUUUCCAUAUUUUCUUCUAGAUUACAAGUCCGUGGGCUUAGAACAUAAUUUGUUUCUCCCAGGCAGUUGAGAAAUGAAACAUUUCAAGCAAUUUGGGAUUGUGGAACUCAAUGGGGUUCAAAAAACACAGUUUCAACUGCCUGGACGAAUUAAAUUAUUCUUUCUCUUCUUCUCUUUAUAUUAUCUUUAAGGUUAUAAGUCCUUGGGCUUAGAUCAUAAUUUAUUUCUCCCAGGGAGUUGAGAAAGGAAACAUUUUAAGCAAUUUGGGAUUGUGGAACUACAUGGGCUUCAAAAAACAUAGUUUCAACUGCCUGGACGAAUUAAAUUAUUCUUCCUCUUCUUCUCUUUAUAUUUUAUUCUUAGUUAUAAAUCCUUGGGCUUAGAUCAUAAUUUAUUUCUCCUAGGCAGUUGAGAAGGAAAAUGCUUCAAGCAAUUUGGGGUUGUAGAACACAAUGGGGUUCAAAAAACACAGUUUCAACUGCCUGAACGAAUUAGAUCAUUCUUCAUCUUCUUCUUUCCAUAUUGUCUUUAAGGUUAUAAGUCCUUGGGCUUAGAUCAUAAUUUAUUUCUCCCAGGCAGUUGAGAAAGGAAACAUUUUAAGCAAUUUGGGGUUGUGGAACACAAUGGGGUUCAAAAAACACAGUUUCAACUGCCUGGACGAAUUAGAUCAUUCUUCAUCUUCUUCUUUCCAUAUUGUCUUUAAGGUUAUAAGUCCUUGGGCUUAGAUCAUAAUUUAUUUCUCCCAGGCAGUUGAGAAAGGAAACUCUUUAGGCAAUUCGGGAUUGUGGAACUACAUGCGCUUCAAAAAACGCAGUUUUAACGGCCUGGACGAAUUAGAUCAUUCUUCAUCUUCUUCUUUCCAUAUUGUCUUUAAGGUUAUAAGUCCUUGGGCUUAGAUCAUAAUUUAUUUCUCACAGACAGUUGAGAAAGAAAAUAUUUUAAGCAAUUUGGGGUUAUGGAACACAAUGGGAUUCAAAAAACACAGUUUCAACUGCCUGGACGAAUUACAUUAUACAUACAUAUUCUUUCUCUUCUUCUUUCCAUAUUUUCUUCUAGCUUACAAGUCCCUGGACUUAGAUCAUAACUUGUUUCUUCCAGGCAGUUGAGAAAGAAAAUAUUUUAAGCAAUUUGGGGUUGUGGAACACAAUGGGAUUUAAAAAACACAGUUUCAACUGCCUGGACGAAUUACAUUAUACAUACAUAUUCUUUCUCUUCUUCUUUCCAUAUUUUCUUCUAGCUUGCAAGUCCCUGGACUUAGAUCAUAACUUGUUUCUUCCAGGCAGUUGAGAAAGAAAAUAUUUCAGGCAAUUCGGGAUUGUGGAAUUCUGUGGGAUUGAAGAAACACAGUUUCAACUGCCUGAACAAAUUAGAUUAUUCUUUCUCUUUUUUUUCAUAUUUUUCGUCCAGGUUAUAAGUGCCUGGUCUUAGGUCAUAAUUUAUUUCUCCCAGGCAGUUGAGAAAGGAAAUUAUUUAGGCAAUUCGAGAUUGAGGAACUACAUGGGCUUCAAAAAACACAGUUUCAACUGCCUGGACGAAUUAAAUUAUUCUUCCUCUUCUUCUUUCCAUAUUUUCUUCUAGAUUACAAGUCCGUGGGCUUAGAACAUAAUUUAUUUCUCACAGGCACUUGAGAAAGGAAAUUCUUUAGGCAAUUCGGGAUUGAGGAACUACAUGGGGUUCAAAAAACACAGUUUCAACUGCCUGGACGAAUUAAAUUAUUCUUCCUCUUCUUCUCUUUAUAUUUUAUUCUUAGUUAUAAAUCCUUGGGCUUAGAUCAUAAUUUAUUUCUCCCAGGCAGUUGAGAAAGAAAAUGUUUCAAGCAAUUUGGGGUUAUGGAACACAAUGGGAUUCAAAAAACACAGUUUCAACUGCCUGGACGAAUUAAAUUAUACAUACAUAUUCUUUCUCUUCUUCUUUCCAUAUUUUCUUCUAGCUUGCAAGUCCCUGGACUUAGAUCAUAACUUGUUUCUUCCAGGCAGUUGAGAAAGAAAAUAUUUCAGGCAAUUCGGGAUUGUGGAAUUCUGUGGGAUUGAAGAAACACAGUUUCAACUGCCUGAACAAAUUAGAUUAUUCUUUCUCUUUUUUUUCAUAUUUUUCGUCCAGGUUAUAAGUGCCUGGUCUUAGGUCAUAAUUUAUUUCUCCCAGGCAGUUGAGAAAGGAAAUUAUUUAGGCAAUUCGAGAUUGAGGAACUACAUGGGCUUCAAAAAACACAGUUUCAACUGCCUGGACGAAUUAAAAUAUUCUUCCCCUUCUUCUUUCCAUAUUUUCGUCUAGAUUACAAGUCCCUGGCCUUAGAACAUAAUUUAUUGCUCCCAGGCAGUUGAGAAAGGAAAUUCUUUAGGCAAUUUGGGAUUGAGAAACUCCAUGGGGUUCAAAAAACACAGUUUCAACUGCCUGGACGAAUUACAUUAUACAUGCAUAUUCUUCCUCUUCUUUUUUUUAUAUUUUUAUCCAGGCUAUAAGUCCUUGGGUUUAGAUCAUAAUUUAUUUCUUCCAGGCAGUUGAGAAAUGAAACAUUUCAAGCAAUUUGGGACUAUGGAACUCCAUGGGAUUGAAGAAACACAGUUUCAACUGCCUGGACGAAUUAAAUUCUCUUUAUUCAUCUUCUUUUAGGCUGUUUAGUAUAUCCUUGGUGUGAACUCAAUAAACCUACAACUCUUUUGUUGUUUCGGAUGGUUUUUGAGGUUAUAAGUAAUAAUGUUUAACAUUAGGUUAUGGCUAACUACAAGAAUGGAUUCAGGAAACAAAUCGCCAAAUUCUACACGACUUAGUGAACAAUAAAUAAAAUAUUAUGAAAUUAAUUUAAAAAAAAAUGAGUUUUAUUAAUAAAAUCCCACCUCUAUGAACCUAAUUGUGACUUUUCCCAAAUUGUGCAAUACAUUCCGAGUUUAGACGCUGUUAUGUUAUUGUGUUUGUAAUUUGAAUGUUUUUAUUUGUAGAGUAAUACCUGACCAUAAAUAUGUCAGGCUCAAUGUCCAAAUGUCAUUUAUAAUUAAUUAGCUUUACUGUAAUA